UUGCUAGCAGCUAGCUCUCUGCAACUCUUACAUGACAGCCCACUGAAGCUAAGCAGAGCUGCGCCUGGUCAGUGCCUGGAUGGAAGACCACAUGGGAAAGAUAGGUUGCUGGCGUA
rnacentral:rRNA from 1 species